rnacentral:sRNA from 1 species
CUCUGCCAACUGGUGGAAUCAUCGCCACUUCCAGCACCAUGCCAAGCCUAACAUCUUCCACAAGGAUCCCGAUGUGAACAUGCUGCACGUGGUAGAGGGAAAUCUUGUCCCAGUUCAGCAGGAAGGCAAGAUUUCAGGGGCUCAAGCUUGGUCGCCAACUGACUAGCUCAUGUUGAGAAAACCUUAUUCGGAGAAUCAUCAUCCUGUACACUGGGAGGAGCCUCAACAUGGCUUGGUCCAAUCUGCUUCACCAGUGGAUGAGAAAUUGAAG